rnacentral:lncRNA from 1 species
GCUCUGUGAAGUACCAUUAGCCGCGGGAAUAUCAGUAUGGUGACUCCUUACCCUGGGGAAGUGUACUUAGGCCACGGCUAGGUGAAGCCCAGGGAUAUUUCUGUUCGCCCAUGCAUCCGAGAAAGGAGUGUUAGACCUGACCCUGUUGUUUCUCCCAGCAGUGAGAACGUGGCCAUGGACAAGAAUUCCAAGUAGUGGCACUUCUGUAGACGACGCGGCCCUUUUGGGGUUACUACAGCCCAGGAAACUCACAUGCGACACGGCGCCAGCUGAAGUCCAUCUAGACCCCCGCAGACCCAAGGUCACAAGUUGAGAACCCCCUGCCGUGGACAUUCUUCUGCACCUAGUGGUGAAGCAGGUGGAGCUGCACCUUGCUCCGCCCAUUUGGAGACUGGUUCUGCACAUAUGAGUGUGCCCUGCAGCGAUCCUGCAAUCCUUCGUGACUAACAAGGACUUUCUGUGAAAACAGAUUUAUCUUUUCUUCUCUACCUUUAAGGUUUCUUGCUGUUGAGAAUAGUUAAGGGACGAGGAAUUCUUAUUGCCCCCAUUUUACAGGCAAAGAAACUAAUGCUGACCCCAACCUUACCGACCACUUGGAGGUCCCUAAAAACACAUGACCUUUGUGUUUCUCGGCUGUUAGUGGAAUCCUUUCUGUCUGCUCAUGAACUCAUCUUCAAACGCAUUCCAGGCCUUCAGAACUCUUCCGUGAGCGCAAGUCACUGAUUGCACUAGAAAGAACCACAUGGGGUUUAUUCUUCCCUCUUUCAAGAAACCUAAUGAAAUUGGGCUGAGAUUCCAAGGAACUCCUGGAAAAGAGUUAUCAGUGCCAGAAUGAAAGAUCCUAGAGGCAGAGCCCACCGUUCUACUCUAUUUAUAGUGGUGAAAGGUAAGGCCUGCACCUGCAUGGGCUUUAAGUAUUCACUCCCAUGAUAGUCCCAGUGUGGUCCAGCCUUAGAGGAAACAGAGGCAAUGGGCACCAUGGCAAUUCACUUAAUGCUGGUGUAUUAGUCCGUUUUCAUGCUGCUGAUAAAGGCAUACCUGAGAUUGGGCAAUUUACAAAAGAAAGAGCUUUAAUGGACUUAUAGUUCCACAUGGCUAGGGAAGCCUCACAAUCAUGGCAGAAGACAAGGAGAAGCAAGUCACAUCUUACAUGAAUGGCAGCAGGCAAAGAGAGAGAGCUUGUGCAGGGAAACUCCCAUUUUUAAAACCAUCAGAUCUCAUGAGACUUACUAUCACAAGGACAGCACAGGAAAUACCCACCCCCAUAAUUCAAUUAUCUCCCACCAGGUCCCUCCCACAAUACAUGGGAAUUAUGGGAGCUACAAGAUGAGAUUUGGGUGGGGACACAGAGCAAACCAUAUCAGCUGGGAUGUAGGCACCACCAGGAAGAUACAUAGCCAUCAUUGUGUUCCUGCCCAGGCUUCAGUGAAGCAGGAAAAACUCUUGCUUUUUCCACUUCCUCAUUUCCAUUUCCUCUCCUUUCUCACUCUUACUUUCUUCAAAGUUUGUACAUUUUGAAGAUGAUUUCCAUGGAAGACUGUACAGAGCUACAAACUAGAUGUUGGAAUGGAUUUGAGGAUCCUGCCAGAGACUGAAGAUGCUGGCUCAGAUAUAUCUCAGAAUAGAGUUUGGCUCUCCCUACUUUCAUUCAACAGCUUCACUCAUUUAGACCUAGCAACCCAACCUCACACCCUCCACUCUCACACCGUUAGAAUGACCCUUUGGAGCCUCAACUUUUGACCUGCCUUGCUCCAUCCCCUUUUCACAAGGGCAGGUUUAUUGUCUACUGGCAAUCUUGACUAGGGCCUUGGAAGAGGAUUGGACCUUAUUCACAGUGGUCUAGUGAUCAAAACAAGUCAUUGUUAAUACAUCAGUGUUACUACCUUGCUAUGCAUGUAACGCUGGAAAACAGCAUAGUGCAGUCCAUUUACCAAAACCAAAUCUUACUGCUAGUUGACCAACACCAUGUGGUACUGAGAAAAAUGUGUAUAGAACAACCCCUUACUGCUGUAUAAAACCAUUCCUUGCUUAAGGAUCACCUGACUUUUGAUAUCUUUACACCAGUGAUUGUCAACUUGGAAUGAUUUUUGCCCCUCCCCUCAUGGGGAUAUUUGACAAUGUCUGGACACAUUUUUUAUUGUCACAAUUGGGAGAAUUCUACUGGCGUCUAAUAGGUUGGGGCCAAGGAUACUGCUAAACAUCCUUCAGUGCACAGACAGCCACAUACACAAAGAAUUUUCCCAACCAAAGGUCAAUAGUGCUGAUAUUGAGAAACUGCCUUAAAGAAUCUUCAGGUGAGACUACAUGGGAGGUUCUGUUAGCAGUAGCGAAUCCAUACAGGUCUGCAGCAACCUCAAUUCUUGCCUCCUCAGAAGAAAGAAUUCAACCAAGGAGGCAUUAGGCAAUAGGAAAGACCAAUGCAAGUUUUAGAACAGGAAUAAAAGUUUGUUUAAAAGCUUUAGAGAAAGAACAAAAGGAAGGAAAGUCCACUUGGAAGAGGGCCAAGCAGGUGACUUGAAAGACGAGUGGUUUGACCUUUUGACUUAGGUUUUUAUAUGUUAACAAACUUCCAGGGCUUGCAUUUUAUUCUCCCCUCAUUCUUCCUUUGGGGUGGGCUGUCUGUAUGUGCAGUUGCCUGCUAGCCCUUGCAAGGGGAGCAUGCAUGGUGUGUUUACCGGAGUUGUACACAUGCUCACUUGAGGCGUUCUUCCCUUACCAGUUGAAUGUCCCUAGGAGGCCAGAUACCAGUUCAGCUCUGCCAUUUUGUCUCUUAAUGCACAUGCUUGAGCCCACUAGUGCAACUCCUGAGAUCUUAUUGGGAAGCUGUUGAUUACCAGUUUCAGGUUUUUUCUAUCUGUUGGGAGACUUCCUUUCCCUGGCACUGGCAGCAAACAAUUAUUAUUUUAGAGAGGCAAUUAACAGCUGCCUGACCAUCACCUGAUGGUCACCUGACAUUCCUUUUAGGGGUUUGGGCAAGUGCUCUCCUGCCCUGUUCAUGACCGACUAGCUACCCACUGUAGCAUUUCUCCCCUCAAGAUUCCAAGACCCCAAUUCUUUGGGAAAAAUGGAUGAUCAGUCUUCUGUAAAUCCCUCCUGCUGAUGGUGGGGCAGUGGUGGUUGUUCUGUGGGUCUUGGCCUGUUGCUAGCUGUCAGAGAAGGAGAGUGGCUCCAUGGGUUGAUGAGAGCACUAUCCAGCCAGGUCCAAGGGAGGCAGGGGCAGAAUUUUAUCUCCAUCAUGUAUCCCUGAUGGACAUCUAGGGGUCCCCUGUAAGAGGGUGACUCUUGAAUAUUGAGAGGAUGGUAUCCCUCUCUCAGGAUUAUCUGGAGCUUGAUGGCCUGAAGAUGAAAAUAGACAAAUUGAGUUAUUAGAUUUAGUAGAAUGUUAAAAUGAAAUAAGGAGGUGAGGACAGCUCCAAAAAACCCCAAGCCUGCCGGCACACCCAUGUAACUGGUGGCCAUAGUCAUGCCUGCCAAGACUUGGGUUUAUUGGGUUGCUAGCCAGUUCCAGUAUGUGCCCAGAAUUAGAAUAUUGAUCCAGAUUUGUAUGUUACCCAUCCCUUUUGUUUCUUCUGAGCUGCAGCCAGAGAUCACUAGCUGGUUCACAGGAAUAAGGGUUAGUCUAAAUUGCAGAGAAAAAUUCAAAAACAGCUGAUGAGACUAGAAUCUAAGAACAGGUAUACCAUAGUUCUUGAAACAUAAUUUUCCAGACAUGGUGGCUCAUGCCUGUAAUCCCAGCACUUUGGGAGGCCAAGGUGGGCAGAUCACUUGAGUUCAGGAGUUUGAGACCAGCCUGGCCAACAUGGUGAAACCCCAUCUCUACUAAAAAUACAAAAAUGAGCUGGGCGUGGUGGUGGGUGCCUGUAAUCCCAGCUACUCAGAAGGCCAUGGCAGGAGAAUCGCUUGAACCCAGGUGAAAGAGGUUGCAGGGAGUCGAGAUCAUGCUUCUGCACUCCAGCCUGGGCAAUAGAGUGAGAGACUCCAUCUCAAAAAAAAAAAAGAAAAAAGAAAAAAAAUAAGAAAUAAAUAGAAUUUUUCUCUCCAGUCCUCAUUUUUAUUAAAAACAAAUCAUGACAGGACAGAUUUGUUUGCAAAAUAAACUUUAGUCUUCUUAUACUUGGCCUAAUUAUUUGCACAAAGCACAGCAAGAAUAAUUAUUUCCCUUAUAGGCUCCUUUUUAAAUUGGCUUUGAUGCAACUUUGUUCCAUAAGGAAUCUCAGAUAAGACGUUUUUAAAGCCUUAAGCCCAGCCAUGGGUUGGUGCCAUCAAAUACCUGUAUGAAUUGAAUAAAUUCCUUUCCUCUUGAGGUCCCCAGAUAACCUGGGGCUCCUGGGCCUGUCAGAAACUGGUAUUCUUUACUUACCACAGGUCAGGAACCCUGUACAGGGACCGUGUAGAUAAGGUAUGUUUUCCUAGGGGGGGCUUUUAUUGGCUCUAUAAGUCAAAUUUGAUUCCCUGAAGGAAAGCACACCAUUACAGUUAAAGCCUUGGUAAAAUAACCAGUGGCUUCAAUUUUGUCAUUGCAAAAGAAAACAGAUUCUUAUUGCACUUAUGCAAAUUACUAUCUUGCCAUAAGUUAAGAAUACUCACAAAUUGUUUCCAAAUUCUGGGGAAUCUGGAAGAGAGAAAUAUGCUGCAAAUUUUGUUUACAGGGGUAUACUUUGCUCAUUUGUUAAAAAUUGUAAAUGGCUCAAAAGAAAAGCUUUCUAGGCUUUGAAAAACAAAGGAGCAGCCAUGUUUUAAGCAAAAAGUAAUAAGAGGAUUGUUCUAGUUUUUUAUUAGUUCAGUCCAUGUAGUUAACUCCUAUUCUGCUUGAUAUUCACAAACAUUUUAGCUCUCCAUGAGGGUCCUGAAAGAUUUUUCCUCUAUUCUAAUGUCACAAUAUCCAAAGUUAUCAGAAACCUGCAUUUAAGAGCACCUGUUAGAUUCCCAUAGCUGAUUAUAAACUGCCUUCUAAAACAAUCCUUUAACCAUCUAAAGUAGGCAAAAAAAUCCAUAUUCCCAUGAGUUCUUAUAACUUUUUCCCAAAAGCACAUUCUACCUUCCUUACACACCUUCCAUGUAAAACUAUGUUUCCCAUAGCCUCAAGUACAUGUUACACUAUUAAGUCUUAGCAAUUUUUACUUUUGGUGAAAAACCUGGUGAGUAAGUGAUUUUAAUUAUGUGCUAGGUUUGGAGCCUAGGACACCAGACAGAAGUCCAGAUAAGGUCUGACUGUUUUCAGCAUAGCUAGGGGGCAUGGCUAACUCUGUAUGUUCCCAGGCCUUACCUAGCUUUAAAGCAGGGAAUUUGUACUGUUAAGAGCUAUAGUGGCAGUUUGUGAAGCAUUUAGAUGGCAUAGUAACCUUUAAAAUUGUGUAGUAGUUCUUUCAUAAAUUCCCUUUCACAAAUCUUUUUUAACAACUUACACAGACCACCUACAACAUGCUUGGACUUUUUUACUUGUCCUAAACAUCCCUCUUUUUAAACCACCAGUCAUUUUACUUUAGGACAAGAAUUUACCAUACAAGAUUUUUUUUUGUUCUACAAUAUCUCUUCUUUAUAGCCUUCCUUACCAGAAAUACCACUUUACCUUUAUAACCUUUGAAUUAGACAAAAGUCAUUUUCCUUCUUUUAGAAAGUUAAGGUUUGUACCACAUGUUGCUAUGUGAGUCCUGUGGAGGGGGAGCAGAUAAGGGGGUUAUCUACCUACUGCAGAAGUUAUCCCCCGCUCAAGAGUUUGCUCAGUUAGAUUUUCACUAGAACUUGUCUGAAUAAAUGUGGGCUAUUUCUAAACCCCUGAGGUAGGACUGUACCGGUUAAAGUUAUUUGUUAAAGAAUUACUUAAUUUUGAGGGGAGAGAUAGGACUAUCAGAGAGAAAGAUGAAUUCAGAGGCUGGAUAAAUAUUGAGUGAGCACCCAUUUUGGAAAGUAUAUUUUUGCCCCAAAGAGGUGAGAGGACAUUGCCAGGGACUGGUGGGAGAAUAGUAAUUGGUCCCUUAACUAAUAUAAAGGGGUGUGAAUCUUUUCUUUUGGAGGGGGGUGCCAUUUGCCCCUAUUGCCUGACAGGAUUUGGAAGAGAGUUUCUCAGAGAAAGAUAUUAGCACAGAGUAGGCAGCUCUUGAAUCCAAAAGGGAAAUUUAUAAUUUUACUUGCCACCUGCAGAGUUGCCCUCAGCUUUGUCCUGUUGAUGAUGAUGUGUGAUUUGGAAGGCAACUAGAGCAGAGACCACCUUCAGCUCAAGGUUAUCAGGGGUUGGGAUUCUGUCCCAAGGGCCCUUUGGCCCGUCAGGGCGGUCUCAUUUCCAGUGGCCAAGCUUGUGGCAGAGAGGCAAGCCAUUAGAGGCUUUUUCCCAUUUAUCCCAUUAGGGCACUUUGCCUUCCAGUGGCCUGGCUUCCCACACCAAUGGCAGUUACCUGGAGGAGUGCCCUUAGGGCAACCUGGAGGGAGUUGGUGGGCUUGCAGAGCAGCCAGUACUUGAGCCCACCUCCUUUCUCUGUGUUUCUCCUUUUUCUUAGCCUUGUCCUCCUUAUUCUGCUGUCAGUUAUAAAAGACUGAGGAGGCUAAUCUGAGGACCUCCUGCACAGGGGUACUGAGUUCUAAGGCUGACUUUUGCAAUUUCCUCCCAGUUCAUUCUUAAGCCAAAUAGUAUUACAAAGGAAAACUAGUUUUUUGUUUUAAGGUUUGGGGGAAUCAGACUUUUCCCAGUUUGAGGGGGCGCCUCCAAGGAGCAUGAUCUUUAAUUUGGAGAUGCUAUUACCCAUCUGCAAAAGGCAAACAGAGGAGAAAAAGGGGGGUAAAAUUUUUCCUCCACUUUCCUAUUAUUCUGAAUGAGGCAUCCUCCAUUGUCCUUAGGGUUCCAGAAUAAACCAGUCUUACCAUGUACCCUUGGUCCAUCUCAUCACAAUUACCCACUUGAAAACAGAAGAGAUACUGGAGUGAAAAGUGGGCCCUCUGUUCGUCCCUAAGGUUCUGGAAUGAACUGGUCUUACUGUGUACCCCUAACCUUGCCUUCAUCUCUGUUCUAAUGGUAAUCUGUUAGCCUAGGGCUAAACUUCAUCUCUGUCCAAUGGGUCUCUUGCACCUGCUGCCUUGGGCCAGCCUAUAUCCUUGUCUCCAUGACCCUAUAGUGACUCUCACUUCAGCAUUUAGCAACAAAAUGAUUAUCUAUUUUCUUAUAUUCCCAUUUCCAUGUUCUUUAAGUAGAUGAGAAGCCUGUUUUUCAGUUAACUGCCCCAAGGGGCUAGACUUCCCUCCCUGCAAAUAUGACCUUGAAGGUCUUGAUGUAUGUUAAUAAGGGCAUGGAAGUGGUUAGAGAAAUGGAAGCUACAGGAGGAAGUGGGAGGAAGCAAGAGGAAUACUCAUGGAAAGCCUUCAUAUCCUCACAAAAACAGCAGCCCUUGGAUUCAAGGGGGCAACAUUUAUUUGCCCUCUUGACAUAAAGGAGUAAACUCCAGGGGACUUGGGGCUUGGGGUAAGAACUCGCAAAUGGCAAAGGAAGAAUUUAUCCUCCUCCCAGUGGGUGCUUACUAAAAAAAAAAAAAAAAAAAAAAAAAAAAAAAAAAAAAAAGCAAGUAGGCAAGUAGGUGGGAUCCUUAAAGGGCCAGAGUGAGGUCCUAUGUAGGCAGACAAAUUGCUUCAAAAGCCACUGGAAAACUUGGCCCUGGGGUGUAACAGGAACAAAAAGCAUAUAGUAAGUUAUAAGGAGCUGGCAGAGCUACAGUUCCAAUUAGUGUCUGUCCCAGCAAUGUGCCAGCAGACAGGGGAAGGGUUGGAGGUCAUCUGAGCUGGUAGGAUAAAAACAAGUAUAAAUCUCAGGGGCUAUCUGCAAAGGAGCCUGUGUCUUUUCUGCCAUGAAAAUUCAGCAAGAGCCGCGGACACAUGAAUAACAGGGAGUGUGUGUUUAAGAAGUCAUGUGGCAUGUGAAGUGAAAGCAAAGAGCCAGACUUGCCCCCAAGGCAGACUGUCUGGCUGGGUGUUCAAGGCCAUUUCAGAACACACAGAGAAAAUAGAAGAAUAGGCAGUGCAGGUUCUUGGGGAAAAGCUGAUUUUAGUUGAAAAAGCAGAGGAAAACCCAGACAUUGCACAGUUUUAGACUUUAGCCCUACCACUUUCAUGAGCCUCCUGCCCAGGAGGGCCAUUAGUUCUACUCAGUGUGGACCCCAAGGUCCUUCCCACUCCCGUGAGCUACCCAUCAGGGUAAGCUGAGAGAUCAGCUGGGGGGAGUAGAGCCACUGUAGCUGAGAGGAAUUGUUUGUGGGGUUGGUUAGUAAGCAAGAGAGCAAAAAGGAGGAGGAAACCAUGUAGACGGGUUGAAUGCCUCCAGCUGAAGCAGGCAAGGUGUAUAGGUCUUGUACUACUAGGGAACUUAUCCGAGUCAUAUAGCACCAAAGUAUGUUAGCAGUGGCAAAUUCAUACAGGUCUACAGCAACCUCAGUUCUUGCCUCCUCAGAAGGAAGAAUUUGACUGAGGAGAUGGAAGGCAGGAGAGAUCAAGGCAAGUUUUGGAACAGGAAUGAAAGUUUGUUUAAAAGCUUUAGAGAAGUUACAAAGGGAAGGAAAGUCCACUUGGAAGAGGGCCAAGUGGGUGACUUGAAAUAUCAGUGCGUGGUUUGACCUUUUGACUUAGGGUUUUAUAUGUUUGCAUAAUUCCAGGGUCUUGCGUUCGUUCUCCCCUGAUUCUUCCCUUGGGGUGGGCUGUCUGCAUGUAUGGUGGCCUGCUAGCGCUUGGGAGGGGAGCAUGCACAGUGUGUUACUGGAGUUGUAGGCAUGCUCACUUGAGGAAUUCUUCCCUUACCAGUCAGAUGUCCCUAGGAGGUCAUAUACCAGUUCAACUACACCAUUUUGCCUCAAUGUGCAUGCUUGAGCCCAGUCGCCCAACUCCUAAUAUCUUAUCAUGAAGCUGCUGAUCACCAGUUUCAGGUUUUUUCUGUCUGUUGGGAGACUGCCUUUCCCUGGCAUUGGCUGCAACCAAUUAUUUUAGAGAAACAGCACUGCCUGAACAUCACCUGAUGAGCCCCUGACAUUUUUGGUGGGGGUUGUGGGGAGCCCUCUCUUGCCCCGCUCAUGCCUGACUAGCUACCCACUAUAACACCUCAUCUAUCUUGUGCAGCUUGUUUCAUCUGUUUCAUCCAUUCCCAGAACUCCCAAGUGAUCACCUUCUCCAGACCUAUCUUACCCCCAAGGAACUCCCUAGCUCUCAGUACCCCCACCCACAUUGGUUGUUCCUUGUUUGCCAAAGCACUCUCUGGAGCUCACCUGUUUGUCAGUGUUGUCAUUUAGUUCCAUCCAUUUGUUUUCUCUGGAUGGAGCUGGAGGAAACUUCAGAUCCAUAUGGGCAGAAGAGGAGAAAGAUGAAGGAAACCAAGCUUUGCCAGUUUGGUGAGGUAGGGGUGAGGAGCAGACAUUCACAAAAAAGAUCAUUCCUUUCCACGCUGGCAGAGGAAUCAGCUCUAGCCCUGAUGCCUGCACUGUUGCCAAAGGGCUCCAUCUCUGUUCAGUCUUGAGCAUCAGCCUAACUUACCAGUUACCAAGCCCUGAAAAGAGGGAAUGGAUGUGCAUCCCACCUCAAGGAGGAGGUGAGAGGAAGAAAACAGACUAUUCUGCCACUUGAGUAUAUACAUUCUGUAGAAAAGUCAGAGGGGCACUUUCUAAGACUGGACCACACAUCCAUGGACCUUGUUGAGUCUGCGAAAAUGAUACACCAAGAUAAAGGUUGCAGAAGAAAAGUUUUCUCUGACCUUCCCCUGCCCUCCAAUCUCUGGCUGCUCAUUCUCCCCCAGGAUAGUCACAGAAACUAGAAUCCCUCUUCCCCAAGGCAGGUCAUAGAAACCAGAACCCCUUUCCCCAAAAGCAAGCCAUAAAGCCUAAAAAUAUUACUCCAACUUUCCCCCACCUUUCUGUGUGAAAAAUUGGCCAUAAAGAAAUUACCUGACCUACCAUGUUAGGGAUAACCAUUCCAGAGAGGUUCCUGCCCCAUACCCAGAAGGAAGGAAUGCUCCACAGAGAGACCAAGAGUCAUCUAAGCAGACAGGCCUUGCUGGGUUUCCCCACUCAGUCUGUUAGCAUUAGAUCAUAACCUUUAUGUACGAUCAUAUUUCUACAUGGCUAUCCAUAGUUCUUGAACCUAAGCAUAAAAAUGGGCAGUUUCCUCUGUAUUUUUGAGUCUUCAUUCUGAAGGCUCCCAUGUCGUGUAAAAUGAUGAUCAAAUACAUUUGUACUCCUUUUCUCCCAUUAAUCUGUCUUGUGUCUGUUGAUUUUCAGUGACCCUUCAGAGGGUGAAAGGGAAGCUUUCUCUGGGCCCUUAAAACCUUCACAAGGCUGGCUCCCUUACCUUAUUCAGGUUUAGCCACAGAGGUCUUCCCUGAUUUACUAAUAAAGUACCACUGCCCCAAUCCUCAGCCCUCCCAUCUCCCCCUCACUCCCAUCAAAUUAUCCUAUUGUGCUCUGUCAUCAUCUUGUUAUCAAGAAAGAAAAAUAGCUUAGAGCUCUCUGAGGAAUGUGAGGUAUGUAAAAUGUAUCAGGCCCAGAGAGUAUGGGACUUCAGUCUUCCCAUCUUCUCCUGCACCCAUUCCCAGAGGCAAUUGUUUAAAAGCAUUUUGUUUUUUCUUUCCUUUCCUGUAGUUUCAUAAUGUAACCCUCACCCAUUAUCUUCAUAUUCCUGGAACUUGUCAUACAAAGAACAACAUAUAGGCAAUCACCAAUCAACAUUAUUUCUGUAAACCAAUGAGAAUCCUUGACAAACAACUUCCUAUCAGUCCACUCCUUAUCCCUCCUUUAGGUCUAUAAAAACCUGCCUGUUAACAAAGGUUGGAUGGAGCUCACAUCCAAGGUUACUUGGGUCUGAGUCUUCUGGGCAGCUCUCCUCCUCAUGGCUCAAGUAAGCUCUUUAAAAUGACAUUUUGUGCCUCAC